rnacentral:rRNA from 1 species
GUGUCAGCCGCCGCGGUAAGACAGAGGGUGCAAACGUUGUUCGGAAUUACUGGGCGUAAAGCGCAUGUAGGCGGCUGCGCAAGUCGGGUGUGAAAGCCCUGGGCUCAACCCAGGAAGUGCACUCGAAACUGCGUAGCUGGAGUCUCGGAGAGGGAGGCGGAAUUCUGGGUGUAGAGGUGAAAUUCGUAGAUAUCCAGAGGAACACCGGUGGCGAAGGCGGCCUCCUGGACGAGAACUGACGCUGAGAUGCGAAAGCGUGGGGAGCAAACAGGAUUAGAAACCCCUGUAGUCC